GAAAAGACGAACAGCUCAGUAACUCUUAUUUUAUUUGAUGUAUUAGGAUUAUAACUAUGUUAAAUUAUAGAUAACAAUAAUACAAUAAGAAUAAGAUCUAUCAGUUAGUUGUUAAGGUAAUGGCUUAACAAGACUAUGACGGAUAACGGUAUUACUUUGUAAUAUUCCGGAGAAGGAGCCUGAGAGAUUGCUACUAAGUCUAAGGAUUGCAGCAGGGGCGAAACUUGACCUAUGAUAUGAUAUUGAGGCAGUUAUGAGUAGUAUUUUUAAUUAUUG
rnacentral:rRNA from 1 species